rnacentral:rRNA from 1 species
AUUGAACGCUGGCGGCAGGCCUAACACAUGCAAGUCGAACGAGUGGCGGACGGGUGAGUAAUGUCUGGGAAACCGCGCGAUGGAGGGGGAUAACUACUGGAAACGGUAGCUUAUACCACAUUCACUCGGAUGUGCACCGAUGGGAUUAGAUAAUCGGUGGGUUAAAGUCACACCUAGGCGACGAUCCCUAGCUGGUCUGAGAGGAUGACCAGCCACACUGGAACUGAGACACGGUCCAGACUCCUACGGGAGGCAGCAGUGGGGAAUAUUGCACAAUGGGCGCAAGCCUGAUGCAGCCAUGCCGCGUGUAUUAAGAAGGCCUUCGGGUUGUAAAGUACUUUCAGCGGGGAGGCGUUACCCGCAGAAGAAGCACCGGCUAACUCCGUGCCAGCAGCCGCGGUAAUAC